AAAACAUGGCUUCAACGAUAUAUAAAUAAACGUUCUUAUUCUUUUUGGCCAUUUUAUCAAUCUGAGUAAAAUGAGUCAUUCAGCCUUUUUGGAAGAAUACAUUUCGUGAUAACGAUAAUUCUUAUAUAUAAUAUGCAUUGUAUAACGCGCACGCAUAUGUAACAUUAAACUACCUUUAUGAUGUAAUUGCGUUUUUCGUAGUGCGCGUCGUGUCGACCAUUCGAGUCGCAGAUUACAAAAGAUGUAAGCCCACGAUGUAAGACCGCGAUCGCGCUCGACACUGUCCUCUUCCCUCCGAUCCCCUCGGCGUUGCAAAACAUGACGACCCGUGCAUACAUUGUACGAAUGUUGCGAUCGCGUGUGCAUGUUUCGUGCUGCGGUAAUAACUAGUGCGAUGCAGCAGCGGUGACAAAGCGCGAUUCCGCCCGAAGAAGACAUAAAUAAACCUCAAGUUGGAGCAAGUGUGCGCAACAAUUUGUUCUGUCUAUUGUUCCCACUAAACGGACCAACAGCCAAGCAAUAAAUCGCAAAAUUGUGUAACGUCAAGAAUUGACGAUAAUAAAGGUAUGAAAGACCCACGUUCCCGGAAAAGACAUAAUGCAAACAACGUGAAAAGGCAAGCGUGUUAACUUACAAUAGCGCUACGUAUCGAUUUUUCGGAGACACGUAGCGCGAUGUGAUAACGCAUCAAUAUUCAUUCAAGCGGUCGAUUUCGUUUAUACAUAAAGAUAAUAUAACCGAUAUCCAAAUUCUUUUCUCUCUAUGUGUCUAGUCGUAUGAGUCAAUCUCUAGCGCCUAUCGCGCGUAGCUGUUUCUCCGGAUCCUGCUACAUUAUUCAUGCCGCGUCGCUACGCGUAUAUUAAAUCUGUCUUGCGCAUUAGCAUAAUGCGCAACAGGAUACAGAAUCUCGGACGGAUAUCGACGGGUCGAUGAAACAGCUAAGCUAAACGGAAAAGAAUAAAAUCGCCAUUAAUUGCACGCCCUCGUGCGUUGCGUCAUAAACGGGAAAAAAAGAGCGUAUUGUCCUUCGACAACUCAACAGCUGGACAGCUAUAUGUCAACCCUGUACCUAAUGUAAAUGGGCACUUUAGAGGUCAUCAACAAAUCUCUUGUUUUACUUCGCAAAAUCCAGCGUUAAUUAAACGAUUACAGACGUUAAUCGAUCAACUGGAUGCAAGGCAGACGAAAUAGACGACAUAAGCUGGGUUCUAUUAGAGCAGGGAUUGCAGCCACCGUGAUUAUCAGGACACAGGGAUUACGUUACGACAUUAGUGAUUUCGCUACCGUCAAACAGGAUAAUGCCAACAGCUGCCAAGACUGGCGGAUAAUGAUGACCAACCAACAGAUUAACAUUACGUGGUUCACGAAAAGUGCAUCGCUGAUAUUAUGAGAAAAACAGAAUUUCCAUUUAAGUUGGAAAAGAAUGGAAUGUGGAAUGCACCAUGACAUCACAAGCUAGACCGGUCUCACGGAGCUCCGCUUCGCUCCGAAGAGAAUCAGGAAGUGCAGUUUGUGCAGCAACUUCAUUUCCUCAUCGGAUGAAUGUCGCGCGGACUUCCGGUUCCCUGGAGCGAGCCUUUCACAAGCGCCGCAUUAGAAAAAGAUUAGGAUUAGGAUUAGAAGAGAGAGAAAGGUAGAAGGAAAGAGAAAGAUGCUUUCUUUCUAGAGUGCUGUACGAUCGAGAAAUUUCCCUGGGGACUUAUAUAUCUGCGCAAAAUCGACAAUCGACAUGAUAGUAACAAAGUGGAGAGAACACAAUGUAUAAUACGAUUAUCGCACAAACAGAAAAAAAAAUAUAAUAUAAUAUAAGAAAAUAAAAAGAAGGAUAUCGGAACUUGUUAAUAUUAUUAAUAUAUGUUAAUAUAUGUGUUAUGCUUCAUUUUUUUCAUGCACCACGCGAUUAAUUAUUAUUAUCGUUUUUAUCUAUUAUUUGAUUACAGAAAAGCUUUGAUAAAUAAAACAAGAACCGAAGAUCUAAACAUCAGACCUGUUACAGGGAUGGGAAGGUUCGAGAAACGAGACUCAACAUUAUAAACUUAUCCUACACAAGGUGUCCGACAUGUAAACGUGUGUCGUCUCGGGAAUCGUGCGGGCUGCGAUCUUCGCAUGUAUAUACGUCGCUCUAGAAUUCCAGCGAUGCGGACAAGUUGUAUCUCGUGUCGUCCCGCGUCUACGAAGUUCCAAGGGAACGUAUAGCGGAUGUCCACGAUCCUUGCGAACUCGGGGCGACCUUUCGCCACGAACGCGACCGACGAGGAAGAAACUAUUCCGCUAACGAGAGUCUGCGAGUGAGCUGGCUCCAGGCACGGCGAAGUAAUUGGAAUUCAUACCGAAGUACCUCGUGUCGAGAAACACGCGUGCGCGCUGAUAACUGCGGUUGAUAACCGUAACGCGCGAGUGAUAGGUGCGGUUAACCCGCAAUCUCCCGUUCACAUUUUGUACAGCUUCUUCCAAAGGAACAGUUUCGAUAGACGCAAAAGCACGAGUUCUACACUACGUCAUUUUUAUAUAUAUUUAGCAUAAAAAAAUAUUUCUUCAAACGAAACGGUAUCUUUAUCAACGUAUACAUAGGAAAGUUUUCGGAAAAUUAUGCACGAUUGCCUUCAUAGUCACAUAACGGUUCCCAAAAAAUACCGUGUUAGAGAUAGAGGGAAUUUUAGCUUACAUAAAGAAGAUUAUGUUCUUCGAAAGAUUUAUGAUAUUAUGCAACACUUGUUAUUCUAUGUUAAAACUGUAUUUUUAUUCACGUUUGGGUUAUCGACCUUAUCGUAAAUAUUCAAACGAUUUUUUAUAUUAAUCUUUAUUUUAUAUUAUUUAUAAUAAUAAUUUUAUAUAAUAAACUUUUGUAAUUGGAAUAUAAAAUACAUCAGAAAGUCGCUCUGAAUC